rnacentral:pre_miRNA from 1 species
ACUCUGCUGUGGCCUAUGGCUUUUCAUUCCUAUGUGAUUGCUGUUCCAAACUCAUGUAGGGCUAAAAGCCAUGGGCUACAGUGAGGGGCGUGCUCC